rnacentral:rRNA from 1 species
GAUGAACGCUGGCGGCGUGCCUAAUACAUGCAAGUCGAGCGAAUGGAUUGAGAGCUUGCUCUUAUGAAGUUAGCGGCGGACGGGUGAGUAACACGUGGGUAACCUGCCCAUAAGACUGGGAUAACUCCGGGAAACCGGGGCUAAUACCGGAUAACAUUUUGAACCGCAUGGUUCGAAAUUGAAAGGCGGCUUCGGUUGUCACUUAUGGAUGGACCCGCGUCGCAUUAGCUAGUUGGUGAGGUAACGGCUCACCAAGGCAACGAUGCGUAGCCGACCUGAGGGGGUGGUCGGCCACACUCGGACUGGGACACGGCCCAGACUCCUACGGGAGGCAGCAGUAGGGAAUCUUCCGCAAUGGACGAAAGUCUGACGGAGCAACGCCGCGUGAGUGAUGAAGGCUUUCGGGUCGUAAGACUCUGUUGUUAGGGAAGAACAAGUGCUAGUUGAAUAAGCUGGCACCUUGACGGUACCUAACCAGAAAGCCACGGCUAACUACGUGCCAGCAGCCGCCGUAA